GACGCAUCGUAUAGACGUAGAGAUUGCGGGCUUCGAUAACAUCCGCGUAGUGCCACAUGAAGGAGCAACAACGGUGAAAUAUGAGAGUAAAGGAGGACCCAUGGCGGCAUCAAGUAACGGCAUAGUAAUCAUGAGAUCAACGUAGCUGAAUAUCCGAGAGAAAAAGGAACUUUGAGAGUGACCCCUCCCACUUCCCACAGGCACUGGCAGAAUAAUCCUGAGCAUCUCGAGGCGUCCGUGCAUUCGGUCUCUGGAGGAUACCACCCUGUCGAUUUGUGGUGACAGCCAGCCCAGGGAGCUCAGUCUGGACGAGGGUUGUUCAUCCCUUCCAGGCACCUCAAGGGACGACAGUAGCGAG